rnacentral:rRNA from 1 species
CAGCACCUCAAGUGGUCAGGAUGAUUAUUGGGCCUAAAGCAUCCGUAGCCGGCGCUGUAAGUUUUCGGUUAAAUCUGUACGCUCAACGUACAGGCUGCCGGGAAUACUGCAGCGCUAGGGAGUGGGAGAGGUAGACGGUACUCGGUAGGAAGGGGUAAAAUCCUUUGAUCUAUUGAUGACCACCUGUGGCGAAGGCGGUCUACCAGAACACGUCCGACGGUGAGGGAUGAAGGCUGGGGGAGCAAACCGGAUUAGAUACCCGAGUAGUCC